rnacentral:rRNA from 1 species
CCUACGGGUGGCAGCAGUGAGGAAUAUUGGUCAAUGGACGAAAGCCUGAACCAGCCAAGUCGCGUGAGGGAUGACUGCCCUAUGGGUUGUAAACUUCUUUUAUAUGGGAAUAAAAUGUUCCACGUGUGGGUUUUUGCCUGUACCAUAUGAAUAAGGAUCGGCUAACUCCGUGCCAGCCGCCGCGGUAAUACGGAGGAUCCGAGCGUUAUCCGGAUUUAUUGGGUUUAAAGGGAGCGUAGGUGGAUUGUUAAGUCAGUUGUGAAAGUUUGCGGCUCAACCGUAGAAUUGCAUUUGAAACUGGAUGUCUUGAGUACAGUAGAGGUGGGCGGAAUUCGUGGUGUAGCGGUGAAAUGCGUAGAUAUCACGAAGAACUCCGAUUGCGAAGGCAGCUCACUGGACUGCAACUGACACUGAGGCUCGAAAGUGUGGGUAUCAAACAGGAUUAGAUACCCCAGUAGUC